rnacentral:rRNA from 1 species
CCGAGUUGUAAUUUGUAGAGGGUGCUUUGGCGUUGGCUGUGGUCUAAGUUCCUUGGAACAGGACGUCGCAGAGGGUGAGAAUCCCGUAUGUGGCCGCCAGUCUUCGCCGUGUAAAGCCCCUUCGAC